rnacentral:rRNA from 1 species
UACGAAGGGGGCUAGCGUUGUUCGGAUUUACUGGGCGUAAAGGGCGCGUAGGCGGCCUGCUAAGUCACACGUGAAAUCCCUCGGCUCAACCGGGGAACUGCGUGUGAUACUGGCGGGCUUGAAUUCGGGAGAGGGAUGUGGAAUUCCAGGUGUAGCGGUGAAAUGCGUAGAUAUCUGGAGGAACACCGGUGGCGAAGGCGGCAUCCUGGACCGAGAUUGACGCUGAGGCGCGAAAGCUAGGGGAGCAAACGGG